AGGGAACUAGUCCAACUUAAGACUUCUGAUUUCGGCUCAGACGAUUAUGGUUAAAAUCCAUAUCUCCCUU
rnacentral:tRNA from 1 species